GAUGAACGCUGGCGGCGUGCCUAAUACAUGCAAGUCGAGCGAACAGACGAUGAGCUUGCUCCUCUGACGUUAGCGACGGACGGGUGAGUAACACGUGGAUAACCUACCUCUAAUACUGGGGUAACUUCGGGAAACCGGAUCUGAUACUAGAUAAUAUAUUCAACCGCAUGGUUCAAUAGUUAAAGACAGCUUUGCUGUCUCUUUUAGACGAAUCCGGGCCGCAUUAGCUAGUUGGUAAGGUAACGGCUUACCAAGGAGACGAUGCGUAGCCGACCUGAGAGGGUGAUCGGCCACACUGGAACUGAGACACGGUCCAGACUCCUACGGGAGGCAGCAGUAGGGAAUCUUCCGCAAUGGGCGAAAGCCUGACGGAGCAACGCCGCGUGAGUGAUGAAGGUCUUCGGAUCGUAAAACUCUGUUAUUAGGGAAGAACAAAUGUGUAAGUAACUAUGCACGUCUUGACGGUACCUAAUCAGAAAGCCACGGCUAACUACGUG
rnacentral:rRNA from 1 species